ACACAUGAGGGUGGUCUGGCUCUGACGUCUGUCCUCGAUCGCCAGGGCUGAUUCGGUCAAUCUGGCUGGGUAGGCAGGUGUCCCUCCCUCACUGUUGCAUGCAGGUGCCUCUGCAGCCGAGCGCUCUGUUGAAGAGGACAACCUUCCCUGAAAGAGGAGGACCAUUCUUCUGUCCACGGCAUAUGCUAGAACCUCCAAACAAGCUCCCCAAACUCCUCACCCACAGAAGAUUCCUCAUGGGCUGUGUCGUAUGCCUUU
rnacentral:snRNA from 1 species